UUAGUCAAUAUUUUGAGACUAACGCUAGAGACUGUUUAGUGAAUAGUAACUAGUCUCAAAUUGAGACUUUACCUCAAAAUGUCUCAAAUAGAGACUAGAGACUGGUUACAGAAUCCCGCUAUAUGUUUAUACCAGCAUGUAAAUGUCAGAGUGGUAAUUUUGACAUGUGAUUGCUAACACUAAAUUUUGACAACAAAACAAACGUGUUUUUGCGAAAACGAAAGUAAAAUCGAAUACUCAACGCGAAAAUUCUCGCAACCACAGUCCAGUACUGUCUUCAAGUUUGGAAAAUGAUUUUUCUGCUGAUGAUGAAAUGGCCGACCCAACCUAUUCGCUAGAAAGGCCGUCCAGGAAGCAGAGACUGGCGUUAGAAACACCAACAAUGUCCAAAAAAACUCGCCUAUCAACUGUUCUUCCUGUGAUACUUGGACCAAAAUUUUAUUCGGACCUGAAAGAAGCGUUCGGUCUGGAUAAAGUCAACUUAUCCGCGAAGUGUGUUGAAUGUGGUCGCGUCAUAAAGGGAUCCAGAGAGUUACCUCCAAUUUCGUAAAGCAUUUACGAGUUCGUCAUCGCGAAAUACACGAAGAGUACCGAUUUCUGAAGGUAUUUGCACUUACAUAUACAGUCGUGUCCGGAUAUAGUGAACUAAUUAUUGCAAGACAUGUUUUCGAUUGUUUACUAUUUAGAAUACUGUAUGUAAAAAUUAAGAUUUUCACUAUAUCGAGACGUUCACUAUUUAUGGAGUUCACUAUAUGUAUAUUGGUUUCUUUAAUAACAUAAUAAAAAAUAAU